rnacentral:rRNA from 1 species
CAAUAGCGUAUAUUAAAGUUGUUGCAGUUAAAAAGCUCGUAGUUGGAUUUGUGGCGUACGGUGUGUUCCGGGCACUUGUUGUCUGAGUAACCUGCUGUUGCCCUCCUUGGGUGGAACCUGUGUGGCAUUAGGUUGUCGUGCAGGGGAUGCCCAUCAUUUACUGUGAAAAAAUUAGAGUGUUCAAAGCAGGCUUAUGCCGUUGAAUAUAUUAGCAUGGAAUAAUGAGAUAGGACUUUUUUGCUAUUUUGUUGGUUUGCGCAAAGAGGUAAUGAUUAAUAGGGACAGUUGGGGAUAUUCGUAUUCCAUUGUCAGAGGUGAAAUUCUUGGAUUUUUGGAAGACGAACUACUGCGAAAGCAUUUACCAAGGAUGUUUUCAUUAA